rnacentral:rRNA from 1 species
GCAUGGUGCGGGGGUAAAAACUCCGGUGGUAUGAGAUGGACCCGCGUCUGAUCAGCUAGUUGGUAAGGUAACGGCCUACCAAGGCGACGAUCAGUAGCCGACCUGAGAGGGUGACCGGCCACAUUGGGACUGAGACACGGCCCAAACUCCUACGGGAGGCAGCAGUGGGGAAUAUUGCACAAUGGGGGAAACCCUGAUGCAGCGACGCCGCGUGAGCGAAGAAGUAUUUCGGUAUGUAAAGCUCUAUCAGCAGGGAAGAAAAUGACGGUACCUGACUAAGAAGCACCGGCUAAAUACGUGCCAGCAGCCGCGGUAAUACGUAUGGUGCAAGCGUUAUCCGGAUUUACUGGGUGUAAAGGGAGCGUAGACGGAUGGGCAAGUCUGAUGUGAAAACCCGGGGCUCAACCCCGGGACUGCAUUGGAAGCUGUUCAUCUAGAGUGCUGGAGAGGUAAGUGGAAUUCCUAGUGUAGCGGUGAAAUGCGUAGAUAUUAGGAGGAACACCAGUGGCGAAGGCGGCUUACUGGACAGUAACUGACGUUGAGGCUCGAAAGCGUGGGGAGCAAACAGGAUUAGAUACCCUGGUAGUCCACGCCGUAAACGAUGACUACUAGGUGUCGGGUGGCAAAGCCAUUCGGUGCCG